UAAUACGUAGGGUGCGAGCGUUAAUCGGAAUUACUGGGCGUAAAGCGUGCGCAGGCGGUGCUGUAAGACAGGCGUGAAAUCCCCGGGCUUAACCUGGGAAUGGCGCUUGUGACUGCAGUGCUGGAGUGUGGCAGAGGGGGAUGGAAUUCCGCGUGUAGCAGUGAAAUGCGUAGAUAUGCGGAGGAACACCGAUGGCGAAGGCAAUCCCCUGGGCCUGCACUGACGCUCAUGCACGAAAGCGUGGGGAGCAAACAGG
rnacentral:rRNA from 1 species